UUUUGAAUACGUUAUUCUUCUAAGAAUUCACAUCAAGUUGAAUUGGUGGGAUGAAAAAAAGUGGACAAUUUCUAGAGUUUAAUACUCAUAUUGGGAUAAACCGUAAUCGUACCCCCUCCUAACUGCUAAAGUGUCAUGGCCGCCGUCGGGACCUAUUGUGCUGACAUUUACAAUGUUUACAUAUAGAAAAGUUUGUUUUUUUCUGCUUAUAAUGCCGUUUUCUAAAGAUAUUAGUGAACAAAAUCGAUUUGCUAACAAUAUUUAAUAUAUUUUAAAUGUGCUAAAAUUGGAUUCAACAGCAAAAGUCGCAUAAAUAACAUAUAAAUAACGAAUUUGUUUACCUAUUACAAAUGGGGUUAUGUGGUUGUAACUGUUUAUUUUGGGAAUAAAAUGAAAAUGAUCAAUUAAACGACUGGAAAACUAUAGUAAAGUGAAGAACAUCUUGAAGUUCCAAUGAUGUUUCAAGAUGAGAUAAAUCGAAAUAAUGGUUGUAUGUUAGAAGGACAGAGAAUACGAAGAAAUGUUAUUGCUGCAUACUUAGUGUAGUGAAAUACAAACUUCAAACAUUAUAA